rnacentral:pre_miRNA from 1 species
CCUUAUCAUUCUCGCGCCCCGUGUGCAUAAUGAGACAACUGGACGGAGAACUGAUAAGGGC